CCAGACUUCAAAUACCUCCAUUCCUGGAGCUGAGGCUCCAUCUGACCUCUGAAGGUUGCUUCUGCUCUUAGGCUGAACUCACAAACAUUGCUGACGGAUUCUGGAGGCCCCUUCCUUCCCUCAACGGAGAAGACCCCUCUCACCUCUCAGCAGGCCAAACAUCCCCCAAGCUCCAGAUGAUAGCAUGGCACCUAGACUCCUGAGCCCCAAAGAUUCUCUCACCACAGGGGGAGUAUUAAGCCUCCAGACGUUUCUAGUCAUGCUACACUUUCAGCAUAGAAACAUGCGAAAAAGGAAUGAGCAACCAGGAACCUACCAAGUGCCACAUGGGCCUCUCAGGGCAAAAAAAAAAAAAAAACUAACACAGGGCUGGGGAACGGCUCAGUGAGUCAUGUUUGCACACAUGAGGACACUGAAUUCAAUCCUCAGAACCCACAAAGCAGAUAUCCCCUUUAAAAACUGACACUCAAGGUUGUCUUGUAGUCUCCUCAGAUAUCCACACACACCUACCCACAUACACAUACACACACACACACACACACACACACACACACACACACACACACACACACACACAUAUGCAUGCAUGUGCCCCUGGAACAACACACACACACUCACACUCACACUCACACCACCUUUUAAAUUUAACUCUGACCAAACCAUGUUCCAUAACAGAUUGGAAGUAGAUCAAAAGGCCAGCUGUGCAAAAGAAAGACACACACACACAGAGUUCUAAAGAAUAUAUGGUUAAUAUGUGAGACAGGUGCUCCCUGGAACAGGAACCAACCACCUCUACCUCUUUUACUGUGCCCAGCUUCCAGCCAUGGCUUACACUAAAAAAGCACCUAACAUGUAACCACAGUGGGUACCUUAUUGCCUCCUGUCCUGGGACUACCAAUGCCCAGUGCCAGCAAUGGAGAAUGCUCAUCCCAGAUAAGCCAGGGCCCCAAAAUGUGCCCCAAAAGGCACAGGACUCCUUUGGGCUUCUAAUGCUAGGACAGCAGCAAGCCACCAGACUCUCCCAGACUUCCCAAGAACACUCUCAGGGUCAGUAUCUACUUUGGGGUCACCUGGUUCCAAGCCUAGUUUGUGAUGCCUUAACAACAUCAACAAAAGAUAGGGCACAGGUAUGCUAGGACAGUGACCAGAAUGUGCUACCUGGAUGGCCAGACAGGAUCUGAACUUGACUAAAAGCCACUCUACCAUCCGGAGAGAUCAGCAACCUUGUGAUGGGGCCACACUCGUGCAUUUUCCCCUGGGGCUCACAAACACUCUGCCCGGGGCCGAGAAACAUCACAAGGGACCAUUACCCAACCCUAGGUCAGGCCAGGUAUCUGUACCAGGUAUCCCCUAUCAAGGCAUCAGAAGCUCAUGGAUUUUAGCCCCAGCCAUGGUCAGAGAAGCCCCGCAGCCCCACCCCACACUGCCAUGGGAAGUUCUGACAUUCCAAGAACUCUCUCUCCAACUUUACGUGGAUACUUUACAGCUCCCGGCCCUCCAGGCUUGGCAGAGAGACAGGAAUGCCUCUCCCCUUCCUCCAGGGUGGGCCCGGAUGGUGGAGGAGGGGUCCGCAGCCCUCCGUGCCUGCUCGAGCCUUCAACUCACCACGGCAGCUUUACGACGCGGGUGAUGGGCCUCAACGGAGCAAGAGCACUGCUAAAGAUCAAUAUCCUGGAGAAUUAAGAAGGAGAUAUUUCAAGAAUCGCGCACGCAAACAGUCGAAAGGCAAAUGGUCUUAGUAAUGACUUAUUAAAAGGUUUCUUCCCGGACCGAGAGCCCCAGAGCAUAUAAAGCCCAAACCACUUAGUGCAACAAAUUUAAGCACCGUGAGGCAAGUCCCACGCCUCAGUCUCCCCAAGGUUAAGCAAGCAGCAGCUCCUACCGGGGGCCCGUUCUGGUUUGCGUCUCAGCAGCCCAGAUUAGACCCUUCCCCCUUCUCCACGAGAACAGAUCCCCAGCGCGUCGGUGGGCCUCACUGUAGACCUUGAGAAACCACACUUGGGCUUGAGGCUGAAGCCACUCG
rnacentral:lncRNA from 1 species